UAGUUGUCUUGACAAAAUAUAAAUCCAGUACCGACAUUUAGCUCUAACGUGUGGGAAUCUAGUAAUUAUCUUGACUUAUUUUAAAGGCAGAUUUUAAUCGCAAUAGAUAUUGUCGAAGUCAAUCGGUCUUGAUUUAUUGAAUAGACUUGGUCCUAUUCUAUAAUAAUUUUCCCAAAAUAAACUACCUAAAUUGAUGUCGUCUCCAGAAUGUUAUCCUCAAGUCCUGCUUAUGGAUAAUUCGCAGGACCCUGCCACGCAUAUUGAAAUUCAUCAGGAUUCAGCAAAAUAAAACUUAAUACGUUAUCUAAUAUCCUCUCACCCUGUCUUCAUGUUGGAACGCAACUAAACUAUAGCAUUCAUUAUCUCAGUUGAUGAGGUGGUUUUUAUUAUUUAAUUGAGAAUUUGGAAUUCAAUUCCAAUUUGCGUUUUGUUAUCUUCGCAUCAAUUAUUUGCCCUGUGCGAACAGGCUUUGUUAAUUUCUCCUCACCUUUGCCUUCUUUAUCAAGUGCAGUGGCGCAUUGUGUUGUUGCAGGUAAGUAGCCUUGGCUUCUCAAAUGCCAUUCAACUCUUUUGCACGUGCUCCCCUUCUCCAACAUGGUCCAUGCAUUGGGUUUUAGUGGGUGAGCAGUUCCUGUUGGAGAAGCAGGGCACGUGCA
rnacentral:precursor_RNA from 1 species